CCUACGGGUGGCAGCAGUGAGGAAUAUUGGUCAAUGGACGAGAGUCUGAACCAGCCACGUAGCGUGAAGGAUGACUGCCCUAUGGGUUGUAAACUUCUUUUAUAAAGGAAUAAAACGAGGCACGUGUGCCUUUUUGCAUGUACUUUAUGAAUAAGGAUCGGCUAACUCCGUGCCAGCAGCCGCGGUAAUACGGAGGAUCCGAGCGUUAUCCGGAUUUAUUGGGUUUAAAGGGAGCGUAGAUGGGUUGUUAAGUCAGUUGUGAAAGUCCGCGGCUCAACCGUGGAAUUGCAGUUGAAACUGGAGGCCUUGAGUGCACACAGGGAUGCCGGAAUUCAUGGUGUAGCGGUGAAAUGCUUAGAUAUCAUGAAGAACUCCGAUCGCGAAGGCAAGUGUCCGGGGUGCAACUGACGCUGAGGCUCGAAAGUGCGGGUAUCAAACAGGAUUAGAUACCCCAGUAGUC
rnacentral:rRNA from 1 species